CUAUAAAUGGAGCAGCUUCAAUCUCUAUCAGUAUCAGUCAACGCACUCCAAUCAAACCCAGAACAACUCAAUCAACAUGAAAUUCCUCAUCUACUUCGUCGCUCUGCUCUUUGCCGUGGCCCAGGCUCAAAAUACGGUUUCCUUCGCUAGAACCAGACCGUAUGUGCAUGAACCUCAAAAUAUCACCUUUUCCUCUGCUCCCACUGUAGACUCCACGGUCCAGAAGAAUUAAAUCGAUCAACACAAUGUCCACAAAAUGAUAUGCAAAAUGUAGAUAUAUAUGUCAAAAUAAAUUGAGCUGAAGUUAAAAUUGA